UGUUUGCAGGAUGGCUCGUCGGCGAACAACAUGCAGCGAUGUCCGGUCGCUCGGUUCGCGCUGCUCCCCUCGGCACCUGGUCUUUUCCUCCGAUCCUCGCGCGGUUUUACUAUUCCUGAUCUCCUUAAUUCCGCGCAUGGCGGCAUGGGCAUGGCUCCCCGUCGUCCUCUCCUUUGCGCCACCGUCACUGGUGGUCCACACACCUGCCGCUCGCCUCUCGCCUUUAACCCAUCACCGGCGAGGUCUUCACUAGCCUCGAUUUGCUCCCUGCUCCUCAACGCUUGUCCUCGGAGCGGCGAUGGCGAAGAUCCUGCUCCAUGGCUCGCUCCAUGUCACCAUCUUCGAGGCCGAGGAGCUAUCCAACACCAGCCGCCCCAGCAGCCAGGCGCCCGGCUUCCUCCGCAAGGUCCUCUGCAAAUCUGCAAUGCAAAUGCAAUAAUGCAAUUCGUGCCUGCUAAAACAUGGGAUCGAGGACACGGUGGGCGUGGGCAAGGGCACCGGCAAGAUGUACGCCACCAUUGGCCUGGACAAGGCCCGCGUGGGGCGCACCCGCACGCUCACCGACGAGACGGCCAGCCCGCGGUGGUUCGAGUCCUUCCACGUCUACUGCGCGCACCUCGCCUCCGACGUCGUCUUCACCAUCCGCGCCAAGAACCCCAUCGGCGCCUCCACCCUCGGCGUCGGCUACCUCCCCGUCCGCGACCUCUUCUCCGGCCAGGAGCUCGACCGCUGGCUGCCGCUCUGCGACGACGACGACGAUAAGAGGACGCCGCUCGAGGGCGGCGCUAGGGUCCACGUCAAGCUCCAGUACUUCGACAUCUCCAAGGACCACAGCUGGGGCCGCGGCGUCCGCAGCGGCAGGUACCCCGGCGUGCCCUACACCUUCUUCUCGCAGCGGCAGGGGUGCAGGGUCACGCUGUACCAGGACGCGCACGUCCCCGACGGCUUCGUCCCGAGGAUCCCGCUCGACGGUGGCCGGUGCUACGAGCCGCACCGGUGCUGGGAGGACAUCUUCGACGCCAUCUCCGGCGCCAGGCACCUCAUCUACAUCACCGGCUGGUCGGUGUACACGGAGAUCACGCUGGUGAGGGACGGCGCCCGGCCCAAGCCCGGCGGCGGCGUCACGCUCGGCGAGCUGCUCAAGAAGAAGGCCGGAGAGGGCGUCCGGGUGCUGAUGCUGGUCUGGGACGACCGCACCUCCGUCGGGGUGCUCAAGAAGGACGGCCUCAUGGCCACGCACGACGAGGAGACGAUGAACUACUUCCAGGGCACCGACGUGCACUGCGUGCUGUGCCCCCGGAACCCCGACGACUCCGGGAGCAUCGUGCAGGACCUGCAGAUCUCCACCAUGUUCACGCACCACCAGAAGAUCGUCGUCGUCGACCACGACAUGCCGGCGGCGGGGCAGAAGACGAAGCGGCGGCGGAUCGUGAGCUUCGUCGGCGGGCUGGACCUCUGCGACGGCCGCUACGACACGCCGCUCCACCCGCUGUUCGGGACGCUGGGCACGGCGCACCACGACGACUUCCACCAGCCCAACUUCGCGACGGCCGCCAUCGCCAAGGGCGGGCCCCGGGAGCCCUGGCACGACAUCCACUGCCGCCUCGAGGGCCCCGUGGCCUGGGACGUGCUCUACAACUUCGAGCAGCGCUGGCGCAAGCAGGGCGGCAAGGACCUCCUCCUCCAGCUCCGGGACCUCGCCGGCGACAUCAUCCCGCCGUCGCCCGUCACGUUCCCCGAGGACGCCGAGGCGUGGAGCGUGCAGCUGUUCCGGUCCAUCGACGGCGGCGCCGCCUUCGGGUUCCCCGACACCCCCGACGACGCCACCCGAGCCGGGCUCGUCAGCGGCAAGGACCAGAUCAUCGACCGGAGCAUCCAGGACGCCUACAUCCACGCCAUCCGCCGCGCCCGGAGCUUCAUCUACAUCGAGAACCAGUACUUCCUCGGCAGCUCCUACUGCUGGAAGCCCGACGGCAUCCGGCCCGAGGACAUCGGCGCCGCGCACCUCAUCCCCAAGGAGCUGUCCAUGAAGGUCGUGAGCAAGAUCGAGGCCGGCGAGCGCUUCGCCGUCUACGUCGUCGUGCCCAUGUGGCCGGAGGGCAUCCCGGAGAGCGGCUCCGUGCAGGCCAUCCUCGACUGGCAGCGGAGGACCAUGGAGAUGAUGUACGCCGACAUCGCGCAGGCCAUCCAGGCCAAGGGGAUCGAUGCCAACCCCAGGGACUACCUCACCUUCUUCUGCCUGGGCAACCGGGAGGCCAAGAAGCCCGGCGAGUACACGCCCACGGAGGAGGCGGAGCCCGACACCGACUACAUCAGAGCCCAGACGAACAGGAGGUUCAUGAUCUACGUCCACACCAAGAUGAUGAUCGUGGACGACGAGUACAUCAUCGUGGGGUCGGCGAACAUCAACCAGAGGUCCAUGGACGGCGCGCGGGACUCGGAGAUCGCCAUGGGCGCGUACCAGCCGCGGCACCUGGCGGCGGCGGGCCGGCCGGCGAGGGGGCAGGUGCACGGGUUCCGGAUGUCGCUGUGGUACGAGCACCUGGGCGCGGUGGACGACGCCUUCGCCCGGCCGGACAGCCUCGAGUGCGUGCGCAAGGUGAACGCCAUGGCGGACAGGUACUGGGACCUGUACGCCGCCGACGGGCCCGAGCGCGACCUACCGGGGCACCUGCUCACCUACCCCGUCGGGGUCGCCGCCGACGGCGCCGUCACGCAGCUGCCGGGGGUGGAGUUCUUCCCGGACACCCAGGCGCGGGUGCUGGGCGCCAAGUCUGACUACCUCCCGCCCAUCCUCACCACAUAGGCGCCUGCUCUGAUGUCUGAUCAGCCCUGCUCAUCUAGUUAUUACCUUUCAAAUCUUUUGUUCGGUUUUGCUCUGGAGAUCUUGCUGAUUAUUUUUUUUAAUUUGUUCGAAUAAUAAGAACGGCACUAGCUUUGGAUUUGUUUUUAGAAAAUAAAUAAAAGAUGCACUGAUGCAGUGUAAAUGAUAGGUGAUUUUAGGUGUGUCAUUAGUAGUAAUUUCUGAAAAGGGUUUUAAACAUCGUUGUCUGAUUGAUAAUGUUGUUCUUGUUUUUUUUUCCCUUUCCUGCGCGAUGGCUUGUAGAAUAACCAUGUCCAUUUGUAACCAGAUGGCUGACGAGAGUACCAGCUAAUGCACUCAUGUCAAAAGCGAAAAGGACAGAUGCACAA